UGUGACUCAAUGAUAGAGUACUUGCCUAGCAGGCAGGAGGCCUGAGUUCUUUUCUCAGUA
rnacentral:tRNA from 1 species